CCUUAAAGGGACGAAGCAGUACCGAAAGGAGCUGUGGACUUUUAAGAAGAGAGAAUGCCGGAAUGAGUAGCGAGAGGAAGGUGGGAAUCCUUCCGGCCGAAUAUCUAAGGUUUCCAGAGUAAAGCUGAUCUGCUCUGGGUAAGUCGGGGCCUAAGGCGAGGUCGAAAGACGUAGUCGAUGGAUAACAGGUUGAAAUUCCUGUACUAUCCUGUAACAGAACUGUGGGGACACAGGCAGAGAGCGUGAGCCGGGAAUGGAAAGACCGGUACAAGCGAGGUAGGAGAAGAGUUGGCAAAUCCGCUCUUUAAUCUGAAGACGUGAUGUGGACUGAAAAUAAGUAGGGAAGCACGUGAGCUGACUGUCAAGAAAAGCCGCUAUUGUUUGCAGGAUACCCGUACCGUAAACCGACACAGGUGGAUGAGGAGAGAAUCCUAAGGCCGACGGGAGAAGCAUUGUUAAGGAACUCGGCAAAAUGACUCCGUAACUUCGGGAGAAGGAGUGCCAGUAAGAUGGCCGCAGAGAAUUGGCCCAAGCAACUGUUUAGCAAAAACACAGGUCUAUGCAAAACCGAAAGGUGAGGUAUAUGGGCUGACGCCUGCCCGGUGCUGGAAGGUUAAGGGGAGAGGUUAGCGCAAGCGAAGCUUUGAACUUAAGCCCCAGUAAACGGCGGCCGUAACGAUAACGGUCCUAAGGUAGCGAAAUUCCUUGUCGGGUAAGUUCCGACCCGCACGAAAGGCGUAAUGAUUUGGGCACUGUCUCAACAAUGCACCCGGUGAAAUUGAAAUACCAGUGAAGAUGCUGGUUACCUGCGCCAGGACGGAAAGACCCCAUGGAGCUUUACUCCAGCUUGAUACUGGGAUUCGGUAUUGCAUGUACAGGAUAGGUGGGAGGCUAGGAAAUGGUAACGCCAGUUGCCAUGGAGCCAAUGUUGGGAUACCACCCUUGCAGUACUGGGUUUCUAACCAGCAGCCGUGAUCCGGCUGGGGGACAAUGUCAGGUGGGGAGUUUGACUGGGGCGGUCGCCUCCGAAAGGGUAUCGGAGGCGCUCAAAGGUUCCCUCAGAAUGGUUGGAAACCAUUCGAAGAGUGCAAAGGCAGAAGGGAGCUUGACUGCGACACCGACGGGUGGAGCAGGUACGAAAGUAGGACUUAGUGAUCCGGUGGUAUAAAGUGGGAUUGCCAUCGCUCAACGGAUAAAAGCUACCCUGGGAUAACAGGCUUAUCACUCCCAAGAGUUCACAUCGACGGAGUGGUUUGGCACCUCGAUGUCGGCUCAUCGCAUCCUGGGGCUGAAGUAGGUCCCAAGGGUUGGGCUGUUCGCCCAUUAAAGCGGUACGCGAGCUGGGUUCAGAACGUCGUGAGACAGUUCGGUCCCUAUCCGGCGUGGGCGUAAGAUAUUUGAGAGGAGCUGUCCUUAGUACGAGAGGGCCGGGAUGGACUGGCCGCUGGUGUAUCUGUUGUCCUACCGAAGGCAUAGCAGAGUAGCCAAGCCGGGAAGGGAUAAACGCUGAAGGCAUCUAAGCGUGAAGCCCCCCUCAAGAUGAGAUAUCUCAUAACGUCAAGUUAGUAAGACCCCUUGAAGACGACGAGGUAGAUAGGGCAGAGGUGGAAGUGUGGUAACACAUGGAGCUGACUGUUACUAAUAGGUCGAGGGCAUAACUA
rnacentral:rRNA from 1 species